rnacentral:rRNA from 1 species
UACGUAGGGAGCAAGCGUUGUUCGGAUUUACUGGGCGUAAAGGGCGCGUAGGCGGCGCGGUAAGUCACUUGUGAAAUCUCUGAGCUUAACUCAGAACGGCCAAGUGAUACUGCAGUGCUAGAGUGCAGAAGGGGCAAUCGGAAUUCUUGGUGUAGCGGUGAAAUGCGUAGAUAUCAAGAGGAACACCUGAGGUGAAGACGGGUUGCUGGGCUGACACUGACGCUGAGACGCGAAAGCGUGGGGAGCAAACAGG